UGGGGAAUUUUGGACAAUGGGCGAAAGCCUGAUCCAGCAAUGCCGCGUGUGUGAAGAAGGCCUUCGGGUUGUAAAGCACUUUUGUCCGGAAAGAAAUCCUUGGCUCUAAUACAGUCGGGGGAUGACGGUACCGGAAGAAUAAGCACCGGCUAACUACGUGCCAGCAGCCGCGGUAAUACGUAGGGUGCAAGCGUUAAUCGGAAUUACUGGGCGUAAAGCGUGCGCAGGCGGUUUGCUAAGACCGAUGUGAAAUCCCCGGGCUCAACCUGGGAACUGCAUUGGUGACUGGCAGGCUAGAGUAUGGCAGAGGGGGGUAGAAUUCCACGUGUAGCAGUGAAAUGCGUAGAGAUGUGGAGGAAUACCGAUGGCGGAGGCAGCCCCCUGGGCCAAUACUGACGCUCAUGCACGAAAGCGUGGGGAGCAAACAGGAUUAGAUACCCUGGUAGUCCACGCCCUAAACGAUGUCAACUAGUUGUUGGGGAUUCAUUUCCUUAGUAACGUAGCUAACGCGUGAAGUUGACCGCCUGGGGAGUACGGUCGCAAGAUUAAAACUCAAAGGAAUUGACGGGGU
rnacentral:rRNA from 1 species